rnacentral:SRP_RNA from 1 species
AAGAGUUGUGGUGUGCUCCUGUAAUCCAGCUAUUCAGAGGCUUGGUUGGUUUGCCUGUUUGAGGAUGGGAGUCUGGGUAAUCAGUCUUCUAUGGCAAUCAGGUGUCCAAACUAAGCUUAGCAUUUAACUGGAGAGGGAGCUCAUCAGGACCAGGUUGUCUAAGAAGGGUCAAUUUGGCCCAGGGCAGAAGCACAGCAGACAAAAGACCCCAUGUCGAGCAGCAGUGGGAUCAUGCCUGUGAAUAGUCAUCAGCUGGCAGCUUGUUUGACAUAACCAAACUGCUAUCUUU